rnacentral:rRNA from 1 species
UACGUAGGGUGCAAGCGUUGUCCGGAAUUAUUGGGCGUAAAGAGCUCGUAGGCGGUCUGUUACGUCGGCUGUGAAAACCUGGGGCUCAACUCCGGGCCUGCAGCCGAUACGGGCAGACUAGAGUUCGGCAGGGGAGACUGGAAUUCCUGGUGUAGCGGUGAAAUGCGCAGAUAUCAGGAGGAACACCGGUGGCGAAGGCGGGUCUCUGGGAUAACACUGACGCUCAUGCACGAAAGCGUGGGGAGCAAACAGG